rnacentral:rRNA from 1 species
GACGAACGCUGGCGGCGUGCUUAACACAUGCAAGUCGAACGAUGAAGGAGAGCUUGCUCUCCGGAUUAGUGGCGAACGGGUGAGUAACACGUGACUAACCUGCCCCUUUCUCUGGGAUAACGCUCCGAAAGGAGUGCUAAUACCGGAUACGAACUCUGAACACAUGUUCGGAGUUGGAAAGUUUUUCGGAAAGGGAUGGAGUCGCGGCCUAUCAGCUUGUUGGUGAGGUAACGGCUCACCAAGGCGACGACGGGUAGCCGGCCUGAGAGGGCGACCGGCCACACUGGGACUGAGACACGGCCCAGACUCCUACGGGAGGCAGCAGUGGGGAAUAUUGCACAAUGGGCGAAAGCCUGAUGCAGCGACGCCGCGUGAGGGAUGAAGGUCUUCGGAUUGUAAACCUCUUUCAGUAGGGACGAAGCGAAAGUGACAGUACCUAAAGAAGAAGCACCGGCUAACUACGUGCCAGCAGCCGCGGUAA